rnacentral:rRNA from 1 species
AUUGAACGCUGGCGGCAGGCCUAACACAUGCAAGUCGAGCGGAUGAAGGGAGCUUGCUCCUGGAUUCAGCGGCGGACGGGUGAGUAAUGCCUAGGAAUCUGCCUGGCAGUGGGGGAUAACGUCCGGAAACGGGCGCUAAUACCGUAUACGUCCUGAGGGAGAAAGUGGGGGAUCUUCGGACCUCACGCUAUUAGAUGAGCCUAGGUCGGAUUAGCUAGUUGGUGGGGUAAAGGCCUACCAAGGCGACGAUCCGUAACUGGUCUGAGAGGAUGAUCAGUCACACUGGAACUGAGACACGGUCCAGACUCCUACGGGAGGCAGCAGUGGGGAAUAUUGGACAAUGGGCGAAAGCCUGAUCCAGCCAUGCCGCGUGUGUGAAGAAGGUCUUCGGAUUGUAAAGCACUUUUAGUUGGGAGGAAGAGCAGUAAGUUAAUACCUUGCUGUUUUGACGUUACCAACAGAAUAAGCACCGGCUAACUUCGUG